rnacentral:rRNA from 1 species
UGGGGAAUUUUGGACAAUGGGGGCAACCCUGAUCCAGCAAUGCCGCGUGUGUGAAGAAGGCCUUCGGGUUGUAAAGCACUUUUGUCCGGGAAGAAAUCGCACCUGAUAAUACCGGGUGUGGAUGACGGUACCGGAAGAAUAAGGACCGGCCAACUACGUGCCAGCAGCCGCGGUAAUACGUAGGGUCCAAGCGUUAAUCGGAAUUACUGGGCGUAAAGCGUGCGCAGGCGGUUGUGCAAGACCGAUGUGAAAUCCCCGGGCUUAACCUGGGAAUUGCAUUGGUGACUGCGCGGCUAGAGUGUGGCAGAGGGAGGUAGAAUUCCACGUGUAGCAGUGAAAUGCGUAGAGAUGUGGAGGAAUACCGAUGGCGAAGGCAGCCCCCUGGGAUAACACUGACGCUCAUGCACGAAAGCGUGGGGAGCAAACAGG